rnacentral:lncRNA from 1 species
CUUUUCUCUGAAUGGAAUUGUUUUUAAUUGAACCAAGCCGUUUUUUUAUAAUGCCAGCAUGUUUAUUGGUGAUCGUCCUGAGUAAUCCUUGCAAUGCACCAUAAUAAAACCUUGAAGCAAUGGCAUGCAGAUUGAGACAUUAGGAGAAAAUACAAAAAUGGGGUCUAGGGUUUACUCUCCAGGCAAGGUUAAUGGAGAGGCUGAAUAUGAUGAAGAAGGUCAACAAUGAUGAGACAGGAGACGAAAGAGCAUUUACAGUUGGAAUAACAUUAUCAUUUUAGAUACAAAAACCCUGAAGUGACGCUGACAUUAUCCAAGCUCUGAUAAUCGAAAUUCUUAUCAGAUGUGAAGAGAUACUAUUUUUGAAAUUUUAAUCCCUGAUGCUGUUUGCUUAUGAUAUCAUCUUCAGAUUGCCACACCAACACCUCAGAUUUCAAGGAAUGCUUUGAGGACUCUGGAAAACAGUAAUCUACAAAAUCCAGUUCCACUGUGUUUCAGUGCCAUGGAAUCCCAUGUAAGGUGCUUGCUGUUAUACAAGCACCUUUCAAGGUAAAUGAGCAAAUGACACAGCUGGAAGAUUUUCGGGGGUGUGGAGCCUGGCUGGACAAAUCGUCACAUUUCAAGCUGGCCAUGUAGCACUAAGCAAUAUGGUGCUUGUUUUGUGCCACCAGGGCCAGGAAGCUCAACAAGUCCUGAUAUAUAUUCACAUUUAGCUGAGUCCACAGCAUAAAUGCUUUUUCUUUCCUCCUAGAAGUGCAGAAUAUUGAUUCAAUUGCUAUCCCUGGGAAGACAGAUGGGAUUAAGAUUUCAUCUAUUUGCCUUUGUAUGGAAAUCUGUUUGCCUUUGUAUAGAAAUCUUUUCUAUCCAAUGGGACAUGGAGGAAUGACCUACAAGGGCAGGCACUGGUUGAAAAUGGUUCCCAUGAAUUAACCCCCAGGCACUUGCAGCCUGCCCUGCACAGGGCUGAGGAAACACCUGCUGCCAGAGAACACCUCCACCUCUGUCACAGAGACACGGAAACCCAGUGGUAGAUACCAGAACUCUCUGCAGUAACCUCCACAGCCUCUACUGCGGUAUUGAAAGC